UUCUUUGGGACGUGCCGGUGUGGGAGCUCAGCGAGGAGGGAAGCCGCCCGACUGCUGUAGAAGCUUAACUUCUCCGAUUUGAACCUCUGAAAGGUUGCAGAUGAAAUAAUACUCAAGCUCCACAGAGACCCGAUCGCUCUUAUUUGAGAUCAUAUAAAUAAUAAUAAUAAAUAAAAUCAAAGCUGUGUGUUUUGGGAAGUAGCAAUUAUCAAGGAAAAUAGUAAAGAAAGAACUGGCUCUUUAUUAUGCUAUUCCUGUGUGACUGGCACAGGGCCGCGGCUGUUUACUGAAUCUCUAAUAAUUUCCCUGAGGCUCGCCCGUGUUUAUUUCUUCGGCCCGAGGUGCUUCAAGUGCUGCUGUUUAUCAUUAGUUGGACACGGGUCCCUCGGAACACGUCCGGCCUAUUGAGAGACGUGUCUGUGGGUGGACAGCGAGGUUUGCGGCGGCUGCUUCGGCUGUACGGUUUAAAUCCAGCUUUGGUUGUGCUUGCUAAAGCCCAUCUGGUCCUCCCAGCACAUCCAUGCUGCAGCCAAACGUGAUCAUUUUGGAAUCGGGUACAACAGGUACAUUUCCAAAAGAAGAACAAACUAAAAUAAAAAUCAUCACACUUCCUUUUCCGCUGUGCAUUUGUGUGUGUUGUCCGUGUUGUCCAUGUAAAGGGAAAUUGGGUGCAGUGCUCUUGUUUUUGUAGGUGCAGUAGGAUGCAAACUACGGUCUGCCAGUGAUUCUCGGCAUUUGGUUUAACUUUUACAAAUCUGGAGGAUGCUCUUUCAGAUAUAGAGGUAUUUUUUCCUGGUCAUUCCUCAAACUGAAGUAAAUACCAGCCAGCUGGUGCUUCAAAACAAAUGCAUACAUUUGACCCCAGUUUGCUGUGUUUCUGACUUUGUUUGAAUAUUAGUAAGGGGAUUAUUUUCAGGUGGUGUUGGGUUCUUGGUGAUGGUAAUGACGUGAUUUGUCACAACAAUUUAUGAUAACUGACACUUUUAAUGAUUGUUCUUUUUGAUGAUGGCCCCUGUGCACCCAUCAUUGUGUGAACACACUGUAGUGUGCUUUAGCUGCAGCUGAGGUUUGUGGGUAAUGUAUUAAUGUACAAUAAAUUACUGCAAAAAAUCUGUUUGUCUCUUUAUCUGUGUCCUUCAAUGCAUUAAAAUAGAGACUGUAGUGCAUUGAUAGGUUUUUAAAUUAAAAGGUAAUAAUCUAACUAGUUUACAGUAGCCAUGACUGAAUGAAUAACCGAUGGGUCAGACACUGAAUUGUACUGUAUUAAAUGUGAAUGAAGUCGUGUUAAGGCCAAUGCUUUUAUAAAAGCACUUUAGCAUACUAGAUUGAAACAUCCCCUGUUUGCAAUCUGAGGGUUUGAAAAGCUAGAUAAUUUAAUAUGAAAAAUAAAAAUGUAUCUGCA
ensembl:lncRNA